rnacentral:rRNA from 1 species
UGGGGAAUCUUGGACAAUGGGGGCAACCCUGAUCCAGCGACGCCGCGUGAGGGAGGAAGGCCUGUGGGUUGUAAACCUCUUUUCUCUAGGAAGAAGGUCUGACGGUACUAGAGGAAUCAGCAUCGGCUAACUCCGUGCCAGCAGCCGCGGUAAGACGGAGGAUGCAAGCGUUAUCCGGAAUUAUUGGGCGUAAAGCGUCCGUAGGCGGUUAUUCAAGUCUGCUGUUAAAGACCACAGCUCAACUGUGGGCAGGCGGUGGAAACUGAGUGACUAGAGUUCGGUAGGGGUAGAGGGAAUUCCCAGUGUAGCGGUGAAAUGCGUAGAUAUUGGGAAGAACACCAGUGGCGAAGGCGCUCUACUGGGCCGAGACUGACGCUGAUGGACGAAAGCUAGGGGAGCGAAAGGGAUUAGAUACCCCCGUAGUCC